UAAAGUUAAAAAUUAAUUAAUGAAUUAAUAAUAAAAGAAUUUUUAAUUUAAGUUAUAAUUAAAUUAGUUUUAGUAUAUUUUAUAGAAAAAAUUUUAAAAUUUAUAGUUGAUAAGUAUUGUAAAAGAAAUUUGAAAUAAUUGAAAAUUUAUUUUUAAAAAAGUAAAUUUAAUUUAUUGUAUCUUGUGUAUCAGAGUUUAUUAAUAAAAAUUUUUAUUUUAAAAUUUCUCGAAUUAAAAAGAGUUAUUAAAUUAUAAAAGUUAUUGUUUCAUAAAUAUUUUUAAUAAUUUAAUUGAAAUGAAAUGUUAAUCGUUUUUUAAUAUAUCUAGUUUUUUUAGAAAAAAAUUUAAUUUUUAAUUUUAAAAAUAAAAUAAUUUUUUAUUUAAUUAUUUAAUUUAUAAUUUUAAUAUUUUAAGGGAUAAGCUUUAAAAUAAAUUUUUAUAAGAAUUUGAAAAAAUAUAUUAAAAAUUUUAUAAUUUAAAUUGUUUAAUAAAUUUUAAUUUAUUAUAAAUAAUUUUAUUAAAAUAAAAAUUUAAUUAAAUUCUUUAAUUUUUUAUAAAAAAUAAAUAAUAAAUAAUAUAUUUUUAGUUAUAAUGAUAAAAUUAGUAUAUAAUAUAUAUAUAUAUAUAUAUAUACAUAUAUAAAUUAAUUUAAGAUAUAAUUUUUUAUUUAAAUUAAUUAAAAAGAAUUCGGCAAAUUUAAUUAAAUUAUAUUCACCUGUUUAUCAAAAACAUGUCUUUUUGAAAUAAUUUAAAGUCUAAUCUGCCCACUGAUAAUUAUUAUUGAAGGGCUGCAGUAUUUUGACUGUACAAAGGUAGCAUAAUCAUUAGUCUCUUAAUUGGUGACUUGUAUGAAUGAUUGGAUGAAAUAUAAGCUGUUUCUUAUUUAUUUAUAAAAUUUAAUUUUUUCAUUAAAAAGUGAAAAUAAAUUUAAAAGACGAGAAGACCCCAUAGAGUUUUAUAUAUAAAAUAAUUUAAUAAUUAUAUUUAAGAAAAUUAAUUAAGAUUAUUUAUUAUAUUUUAUUGGGGUGAUAAAAAAAUUAAAAAAACUUUUUUAUAAUUUUUCCAUAAAUAAGUGAGUAGAUGAUCCAUUAUUAUUGAUUAAAAGAAAAAAUUACCUUGGGGAUAACAGCGUAAUUUUUUCUUUUAGUUCGAAUAGGAGAAAGAGUUUGCGACCUCGAUGUUGGAUUAAGAUAAAAUUUAAAUGCAAAAGUUUAAAAUUUUGAUCUGUUCGAUCAUUAAAAUCUUACAUGAUCUGAGUUCAAACCGGUGUAAGCCAGGUUGGUUUCUAUCUUUAAAUAAAUUAAAUAUUUUAGUACGAAAGGAUUGAAUAUUUAAAAUAAUUUUUAAUUUUAGAAUUUUAUUAAUUUAUAAUUAUAAAAUUAAAAUUUUUAUUUUUAUUAGUAUAU
rnacentral:rRNA from 1 species